AGCAGCCGCGGUAAUUCCAGCUCCAAUAGCGUAUAUUAAAGUUGUUGCAGUUAAAAAGCUCGUAGUUGAAUUUCGGGGUCAAUACGUCGGUCGUGCCUCGGUACGUACUAACGUUAUUGAUCCCUCCCUUCUGACGAACCGUGAUGUCAUUAAUUUGGUGUUGCGGGGAAUCAGGACCAUUACCUUGAAAAAAUUAGAGUGUUUAAAGCAGGCAAUCGCUCGAAUACAUUAGCAUGGAAUAAUGAAAUAGGACGUUCGAACCUAUUUUGUUGGUUUCUAGGAUCGACGUAAUGAUUAAUAGGGAUAGUUGGGGGCAUUAGUAUUCAAUUGUCAGAGGUGAAAUUCUUGGAUUUAUUGAAGACUAACUACUGCGAAAGCAUUUGCCAAGGAUGUUUUCAUUAAUCAAGAACGAAAGUUAGGGGAUCGAAGACGAAUCAGAUACCGUCGUAGUCUUAACCAUAAACUAUGCCGACUAGGGAUCGGAUGAUGUUAAUUUUUUAAUUGACUCAUUCGCGCCUUA
rnacentral:rRNA from 1 species